rnacentral:RNase_P_RNA from 1 species
CCAGCCGGUCGGACGACCGCCCUGACGAGACGCGAAAGCGUGUCCGGGAGGAAAGUCCGGGCUCCACGGAAACACGGUGCCGGGUAACGCCCGGCGGGGGCGACCCCAGGGAAAGUGCCACAGAGAUCGAACCGCCCCGGGUCCGCCCGGGGUAAGGGUGAAAAGGUGGGGUAAGAGCCCACCGCGCUGCCGGCAACGGUGGCGGCAUGGCAAACCCCACCGGGAGCAAAACCGAAUAGGGGCGGCGCGGGCGCUUUUCAGGCGCCCAGUUCGUUUCCGAGCCAGUCGCCCGGGUGGGUUGCACGAGGCGUCCGGUAACGGGCGUCCCAGAUGAAUGGUCGUCGGACGGGGAAACCCGUCGCACAGAACCCGGCUUACAGACCGGCUGGCAUU